AAUGCUCUCGGUAAUCAGACGUCAUCGCCAAUUCCUGUGAACAAAGCAGAUGAACUGAGGACUGAACUCGUCUUCAAAACACUGAUGAUCCUUCAGGUUGUAUCUCUCUACUGUACAAUCGUCAUCUUUGAGUGCUGGUUCAGAUGGAGACAUUACCGCAAACAAGUGAAGGACUCACCAGAAGCAGAUGACGUCAAAGUGAUUGAAAGUCCAGCAUAAUGGGCCACAAGGAGAAAAUCAAGACGUUAAAUCCAUCAUCAGUGACCUGCUUUAUUAAUUCUGAUCAUUUCUACCUGCAUCUUUGUCAUUUUGUCAUGAAAUCUGUUGUUUUGCUGGAUCUCAGCAUGAACCAGGCCUAUGAGAAGUGGUGCAGCUCUGUAGAGGAUUAAGACAUUUAUA